rnacentral:rRNA from 1 species
GUCCACACCGUAAACGAUGAGCACUAGGUGUCGGGGUCGCAAGACUUCGGUGCCGCAGUUAACGCAUUAAGUGCUCCGCCUGGGGAGUACGUACGCAAGUAUGAAACUCAAAGGAAUUGACGGGGACCCGCACAAGCAGCGGAGCAUGUGGUUUAAUUCGAAGCAACGCGAAGAACCUUACCAGGACUUGACAUCCCGAUGAAACUCGCUUAACCGUGAGCCCUCUUCGGAGCAUCGGUGACAGGUGGUGCAUGGUUGUCGU